UACAGAGGUCUCAACCGUUGUUCGGAUUCAUUGGGCGUAAAGGGUGCGUAGGCGGCCACUGCAAGUCGGUUGUGAAAUCUCCGGGCUUAACCCGGAAAGGUCAAUCGAUACUGCGGGGCUAGAGUGCAGAAGGGGCAACUGGAAUUCUCGGUGUAGCGGUAAAAUGCGUAGAUAUCGAGAGGAACACCUGCGGCGAAGGCGGGUUGCUGGGCUGACACUGACGCUGAGGCGCGAAAGCUAGGGGAGCGAACGGG
rnacentral:rRNA from 1 species